rnacentral:rRNA from 1 species
CCUACGGGGGGCAGCAGUGGGGAAUAUUGCGCAAUGGGCGAAAGCCUGACCCAGCGACGCCGCGUGAGGGAUGAAGGUCUUCGGAUCGUUAACCCUCGUCAGCAGGGAAGAACGGUCACUGUGCUAAUCAGCAGUGAAUUGACGGUACCUGCAAAGGAAGCACCGGCUAAAUCCGUGCCAGCAGCCGCGGUAAUACGGAGGGUGCGAGCGUUAAUCGGAAUUACUGGGCGUAAAGCGCUCGUAGGCGGUAUGUCAAGUCAAGGGUGAAAUCCCCGCGCUCAACGUGGGAACUGCCUUUGAAACUGGCAAACUGGAGUGUGUGAGAAGAUAGUGGAAUGCGAGGUGUAGGAGUGAAA